GAGGAGGAGGAGGAGGAAAUUGGCUUUAGCCCAGGAAACAGUUGGAUUUCUGUCCAAAAUGUUGAUGAGGAUGUAGAGGUGGAGGACUUUUUGGAGGAAAUGGAAGAAUAAUAAUGUGGAGGCUAGGCGCUCCAUUUGUCACGGCAUCAUUCAGAGCAAGAGAGCUUGGAUGUUGAAGAGGAUGUGGAGGUGGAGGACUUUGUGGAGGAAAUAGAUGAAUGAUAAUCUUGAGGCUGGUUGCUCCAUUUGCAGGGCUAUCAAUGAUAAUGUGGAGAGGAUGCAUCCUUCAAGUUCUCCACAAAAAUUCAGCCUAAAUAAUGUCUCCUACAAUGAGAAGAAAAAAGACAUGUUUUAUUUCCCUAAAAUUUGUUUUUUUUUUGUUUCUCCUUGCAAAUUUUUUUGCUUGCAUUAAAUUUUUGUGGAGCACUUGAAGAGAGCAUACUCUACAAUACCAGAAUUUUUUCAGAAUUUUUUGUUGCAGAAGAUGCAACCUUCAAAUUAUCCACAAAAUUUCAGCCUAAAUAAUGUCUCAUACAAUGAGAAGGAAAAAAAAAAGACAAGUUUCUAUUUCCCUGAAAUUUGUCUUUUUGGUUUCCCAAGCUCUUGAAGAGAGAAUACUCUACAAUACAAAAUUUUAUUGUUGUAGAGGAAGCAUCCUUCAAGUUCUCUAUAAAAUUUCAUCCUAAAUAAUGUCUUGUACAAUGAGAAGCAAAAAAAAGAUAAGUUUUUGUUUCCCUGAAAUUUGUCUAUUUGGUUUCUCAUGCAAAAUCCAUUGUUUGAGUUGAAAUUUUUUAGAGCACUUAAAAGAGAGCAUAGUCUAAUAUACCAAUUUUUUAAAGAAUUUUUUUGUCUAUUCGAUGGUGUUUUGAAGGUCUGAGCAAGGGGACGCAAUAUUUUCCUUAUUUUUUAGAAAAUCACCCAAUCAAAAGGCAAGUAUUCUCUUUUUGGCCCCAUGGUCGAGUGACAAGAGUCCUAUUUGUGUGUAAUUUACAAACGGGGGCCUUGAUAAUAUUAAUAGAAGUUAAAUAUAUCUCAAAAGAAAUUCAGCAGUCGCCUGCCAGUGAGCUGUCCGACGCCUUCGGCUCUUCACCCGACCGGAUCAUGUAGCAGCAAAA